AUUGAACGCUGGCGGCAGGCCUAACACAUGCAAGUCGAGCGGAGAGGCGGACGGGGGAGUAAUGCCUAGGAAUCUGCCUGGGAGUGGGGGAUAACGUACGGAAACGGGCGAUAAUACCGCAUACUAUCAGAUGAGCCUAGGGCGGAUUAGCUAGUUGGUGGGGUAACGGCCUACCAAGGCUACGAUCCGUAACUGGUCUGAGAGGAUGAUCAUUCACACUGUAACUGAGACACGGGCCAGACUCCUACGGUAGGCAGCAGUGUGGAAUAUUGGACAAUGGGCGCAAGCCUGAUCCAGCCAUGCCGCGUGUGUGAAGAAGGUCUUCGGAUUGUAAAGCACUUUAAGUUGGGAGGCGUUACCAACAGAAUAAGCACCGGCUAACUUCGUGCCAGCAGCCGCGGUAAUUC
rnacentral:rRNA from 1 species